UCAUGGUAGGCCUUUCGAUAA
rnacentral:piRNA from 1 species